rnacentral:rRNA from 1 species
UACGUAGGGACCGAGCGUUGUCCGGAUUCAUUGGGCGUAAAGAGCUCGUAGGCGGCUGCUCAAGUCGAAUGUGAAAACUCGAGGCUCAACCUCGAGCCUGCAUUCGAUACUGGGCGGCUAGAGUCUGGUAGGGGGAUCUGGAAUUCCUGGUGUAGCGGUGGAAUGCGCAGAUAUCAUGAGGAACAUCCGUGGCGAAGGCGGCUCUCUGGCCCGUAACUGACGCUGAGACGCGAAAGCGUGGGGAGCAAACAGG